CUACGGGAGGCUCCAGUGGGGAAUAUUGGACAAUGGGGGAAACCCUGAUCCAGCAAUGCCGCGUGUGUGAAGAAGGCCUGCGGGUUGUAAAGCACUUUCGGUUGGGAGGACUGCUUCUAGCACUAAUAUUGUUGGAAGUUGACGUUACCUUCAGAAGAAGCACCGGCUAACUCCGUGCCAGCAGCCGCGGUAAUACGGAGGGUGCAAGCGUUAAUCGGAAUUACUGGGCGUAAAGCGCGCGUAGGCGGCUAGAUCAGUCGGGUGUGAAAGCCCCGGGCUUAACCUGGGAACUGCAUCCGAUACUGUCUAGCUUGAGUACAGGAGAGGAGAGUGGAAUUCCACAUGUAGCGGUGAAAUGCGUAGAUAUGUGGAGGAACACCAAUGGCGAAGGCAGCUCUCUGGCCUGAUACAGACGCUGAGGUGCGAAAGCGUGGGGAGCAAAUAGGAUUAGAUACCCUAGUAGUC
rnacentral:rRNA from 1 species